UCUUCGAUGGUCUAGUGGUCAUGAUUUCCGCUUGUCAUUGCAAGAUAACAAGCGCGGGAGACCGGGGUUCGAUUCCCCGUCGGAGAG
rnacentral:tRNA from 1 species